GGACGAACGCUGGCGGCGUGCUUAACACCUGCACGUCGAACGGAAAGGCCCUGCUUUUGUGGGGUGCUCGAGUGGCGAACGGGUGAGUAACACGUGAGUAACCUGCCCUUGACUUUGGGAUAACUUCAGGAAACUGGGGCUAAUACCGGAUAGGAGCUCCUGCUGCAUGGUGGGGGUUGGAAAGUUUCGGCGGUUGGGGAUGGACUCGCGGCUUAUCAGCUUGUUGGUGGGGUAGUGGCUUACCAAGGCUUUGACGGGUAGCCGGCCUGAGAGGGUGACCGGCCACAUUGGGACUGCGAUACGGCCCAGACUCCUACGGGAGGCAGCAGUGGGGAAUAUUGCACAAUGGGCGGAAGCCUGAUGCAGCAACGCCGCGUGCGGGAUGACGGCCUUCGGGUUGUAAACCGCUUUCGCCUGUGACGAAGCGUGAGUGACGGUAAUGGGUAAAGAAGCACCGGCUAACUACGUG
rnacentral:rRNA from 1 species